GUGCCAGCCGCAGCGGUAAUACGUAGGGUGCGAGCGUUGUCCGGAAUUAUUGGGCGUAAAGAGCUCGUAGGCGGCCUGUCGCGUCGGAUGUGAAAGCCCGGGGCUUAACCCCGGGUCUGCAUUCGAUACGGGCAGGCUAGAGUUCGGCAGGGGAGAUUGGAAUUCCUGGUGUAGCGGUGAAAUGCGCAGAUAUCAGGAGGAACACCGGUGGCGAAGGCGGAUCUCUGGGCCGAUACUGACGCUGAGGAGCGAAAGCGUGGGAGCGAAC
rnacentral:rRNA from 1 species